rnacentral:rRNA from 1 species
UACUCAGAUGGCGACCGGCGCACGGGUGAGGUAACACGUAUCCAACCUGCCGCUUACUCGGGGAUAGCCUUUCGAAAGAAAGAUUAAUACCCGAUGGUAUAAAGAGUUCGCAUGUUCUCUUUAUUAAAGAAUUUCGGUAAGCGAUGGGGAUGCGUUCCAUUAGAUAGUUGGCGGGGUAACGGCCCACCAAGUCUACGAUGGAUAGGGGUUCUGAGAGGAAGGUCCCCCACAUUGGAACUGAGACACGGUCCAAACUCCUACGGGAGGCAGGCAGUGAGGAAUAGUUGGUCAAUGGACGAGAGUCUGAACCAGCCAAAGUAGCGUGAAGGAUGACUGCCCUAUGGGUUGUAAACUUCUUUUAUAAGGGAAUAAAGUGAGGGACGUGUCCCCUUUUUGUAUGUACCUUAUGAAUAAGGAUCGGCUAACUCCGUGCCAGCCGCGGC